GAACGCUGGCGGCAUGCCUUACACAUGCAAGUCGAACGGUAACGGGCCUUCGGGUGCCGACGAGUGGCGAACGGGUGAGUAAUGUAUCGGAACGUACCUUUCAGUGGGGAUAACGUAGCGAAAGUUACGCUAAUACCGCAUAUUCUGUGAGCAGGAAAGCAGGGGAUCGCAAGACCUUGCGCUGAUUGAGCGGCCGAUAUCAGAUUAGCUAGUUGGUGAGGUAAAGGCUCACCAAGGCGACGAUCUGUAGCGGGUCUGAGAGGAUGAUCCGCCACACUGGAACUGAGACACGGUCCAGACUCCUACGGGAGGCAGCAGUGGGGAAUUUUGGACAAUGGGGGCAACCCUGAUCCAGCCAUGCCGCGUGAGUGAAGAAGGCCUUCGGGUUGUAAAGCUCUUUCGGCCGGGAAGAAAUCGUAUGGGCUAAUACCCUGUGCGGAUGACGGUACCGGCAUAAGAAGCACCGGCUAACUACGUG
rnacentral:rRNA from 1 species